AGCGAACGCUGGCGGCAGGCCUAACACAUGCAAGUCGAACGGAUCCUUCGGGAUUAGUGGCGGACGGGUGAGUAACACGUGGGAACGUGCCCUUUGGUUCGGGACAACUCAGGGAAACUUGAGCUAAUACCGGAUGUGCCCUUCGGGGGAAAGAUUUAUCGCCAUUGGAGCGGCCCGCGUCUGAUUAGCUAGUUGGUGAGGUAACGGCCCACCGAGGCGACGAUCAGUAGCUGGUCUGAGAGGAUGAUCAGCCACACUGGGACUGAGACACGGCCCCGACUCCUACGGGAGGCAGCAGUGGGGAAUCUUGCGCAAUGGGCGAAAGCCUGACGCAGCCAUGCCGCGUGAAUGAUGAAGGUCUUAGGAUUGUAAAAUUCUUUCAGCGGGGACGAUAAUGACGGUACCCGCAGAAGAAGCUCCGGCUAACUUCGUG
rnacentral:rRNA from 1 species